AUUGCUUUAGUUGUGGCUUGAAAUAAGAAUAGAUAAUAGUACCUUUUGUAUCAGGGUUAUUUAAUUAAUCUAGUAAUAUAUGUUUCUCGAUAUUAAACGAGUUAAAUAAUAAUUGAUGUGUUGAAUAACUGUAUUAAUUUAUUUAGUAGUGAAAAUUUUUCGUGGUUGCAGGUAUCUUGUUAUUAUAGUGUUAUAAUAGAAGGGUAAGCUUUUUAUUGGGGUAUAUUAUAUUUUAUGUGUGUGAUAAAUUAGGAUUAAAAUUAGCCGUAUUAUAAAGUUGUUUUAAAUUUUUAAUGGGUUAGAUUUAGAAUAUUACUAACAGGUGUAAUUUACGGUUAUAAGGUAGGGUAAUUUAUAAUGAAUAAAUUAGUAUUUUUAUUUUUCUAAAAAAUAUAACUCGAAGUUUGUAGAAUAGUUUAUCAAAAACAUUUUUUUAUUUAUAUAAAAUAAGGCCUGCCCGGUGUGAUAUAAACGGCUGCGGUAUUUUGACUGUGCUAAGGUAGCAUAAUAAUUUGUUUUUUAAUUGAAAGCUGGAAUGAAGGGUUUUAUCUAUGAUUAGGUUAAUUAUAGAAUAAAUAAUUUAUGUUUGCAGUAAAAACACUGUAAUUUUAUAAAGUGACGAUAAGACCCUAUAAGCUUUACUUUUAAAAUAAGCAGGGCUAAUAAUUUAAUGUUUUUUUAUUUAUUGAGUUUUGCUGGGGCAGCAGUGUUGUCUAACUUAACAGGAGAGGGACACAGUUAUGUGAAUAUAGGAUCUUUAAAAUUAAGAUAGGUAGAAAAAGUUACUGUAGGGAUAACAGCGCAAUAAUUUUGGAGAGGCCUUAUUGAUGAGAUUGAUUGCGACCUCGAUGUUGAAUUAAAAUUUCUUUUUGCUGCAGCAGGCAAGGAAGAGGGUUUGUUCAACCCUUAAAAUUUUACAUGAUUUGAGUUCAAAUCGGUUUAAGCCAGAUUGGUUUCUAUCUUUUAUUUAAUAUAAUUUGUGUAAGUACGAAAGGGACACAUAGGUUUU
rnacentral:rRNA from 1 species